rnacentral:sRNA from 1 species
GGACUUUGAAUUCAGUUAGCAAUGCCAUGAGACAGGCAGAGAGAGAGAGAGAGAGAGAGAGAGAGAGAGAGAGAGAGAGAUGUGAUGCUAAUUUUCCAUUUCAUGUAAGUUAGCUUUUCAUAAUUAGAUCAAGUUUUCUCUACUUAAUUUGGUGCCCUUUUUGCUUACGUUUUUUUUUCGCUGGGAGGUUUUGCUUACUUAAUUUAAGUGCCUGCUAGUUUCUUUUUGCUAGUCCAGCUAGCCACUGCAUACUUAAAUUUUAUAUCUGCCACUGUCAGCUCCAAUUAUUUGUCGUUUGUUUUUUCAAACAACAGUCUGCAUGCAUUUCGGCAUCAAUAGAGGACCAUCACUGUGUAGCUCGAUCAUUGUAGCUCAUGAAAUUGAUGUCUCUUCCGUAAAGGCGUCUUCACUUUUUUCUCUUACCAUGCAUAUCAUGCAUCAAGGCUAAAAAGGAAUUCAACCUUUUCCAUUUUGCUUUGCUUAGUACUACAGUACCAUGUAGGGCUCCUCGCAUGCAUGACAAGAAAUGCAGCAAGAUUGUGGUGUUGAGUUUGAAUACUCAAUGGGAGCAGUAUAUAGCCGAUCUUGAUGAAUUUAUCAUCACGGAAUGUGUCUAUGUUUUUCUUUUUUGAAAUAAUCAAUGUUAAGUGCAUUCAGAUUUUUC